UGGGGAAUAUUGCACAAUGGGGGAAACCCUGAUGCAGCGACGCCGCGUGAGUGAAGAAGUAUUUCGGUAUGUAAAGCUCUAUCAGCAGGAACGAGACAAGACGGUACCUGACUAAGAAGCCCCGGCUAACUACGUGCC
rnacentral:rRNA from 1 species